rnacentral:rRNA from 1 species
UACGAAGGGGGCUAGCGUUGCUCGGAUUUACUGGGCGUAAAGCGUGCGCAGGCGGUUCGUUGUGUCGGCGGUGAAAGCCCCGGGCUUAACCUGGGAAUGGCCGUUGAAACUGGCGAACUGGAGUGUGGCAGAGGGGGGUGGAAUUCCGCGUGUAGCAGUGAAAUGCGUAGAGAUGCGGAGGAACACCGAUGGCGAAGGCAGCCCCCUGGGCUAACACUGACGCUCAGGCACGAAAGCGUGGGGAUCAAACAGG